UUACGGUCAUAUCACGUUGAAACUUCUGUUCUGUUACGAUCACUGAAGUUAAGCAACAUCGAGCCUAGUCAGUACCUAGAUGAGGGACCGCUUGGGAAUACCAGGUGCUGUAAG